GGUGUGACUGCGUACCUUUUGUAUAAUGGGUCAGCGACUUAUAUUCUGUAGCAAGGUUAACCGUAUAGGGGAGCCGAAGGGAAACCGAGUCUUAACUGGGCGUUAAGUUGCAGGGUAUAGACCCGAAACCCGGUGAUCUAGCCAUGGGCAGGUUGAAGGUUGGGUAACACUAACUGGAGGACCGAACCGACUAAUGUUGAAAAAUUAGCGGAUGACCUGUGGCUGGGGGUGAAAGGCCAAUCAAACCGGGAGAUAGCUGGUUCUCCCCGAAAGCUAUUUAGGUAGCGCCUCGUGAACUCAUCUUCGGGGGUAGAGCACUGUUUCGGCUAGGGGGCCAUCCCGGCUUACCAACCCGAUGCAAACUACGAAUACCGAAGAAUGUUAUCACGGGAGACACACGGCGGGUGCUAACGUCCGUCGUGAAGAGGGAAACAACCCAGACCGCCAGCUAAGGUCCCAAAGUCAUGGUUAAGUGGGAAACGAUGUGGGAAGGCCCAGACAGCCAGGAUGUUGGCUUAGAAGCAGCCAUCAUU
rnacentral:rRNA from 1 species